rnacentral:tRNA from 1 species
GAAGGUAUAGCUCAGUGGUACAGCACUAGCUUUGUAUGCAUGAGGCCAUGGGUUCAUUCCCCAGUACCCCUU